UCACACGAAUAAGCCUUUCUGCAGGGAAAAUAAAUGGUUUAACCUGCAGGGCCAUAGUCCAAAGGGAGCAGGCGAGCAACCAGGCUUCUCCAGUUCACAGUGGCGAGGUUGGUUUCGCCACAUCAUCCAUAUCAACUCUCGAUGCCAGUUUCUGUGCCUACCAUGGUGACCAUGGGUAACAGGGAAUCAGGGUUCCAUUCCAUACAGGGACCCUGAGAAACAGCUACCACAUGCAAGGAAGGCAGCAGAGACACAAAUGACCCACUCCCGACACAGGAAGGUAGUGACGA
rnacentral:rRNA from 1 species